UACGUAGGUGGCAAGCGUUGUCCGGAAUUACUGGGUGUAAAGGGCGUGUAGGCGGGGAUGCAAGUCAGAUGUGAAAUUCCGAGGCUCAACCUCGGCGCUGCAUCUGAAACUGUAUCUCUUGAGUGCUGGAGAGGAAAGCGGAAUUCCUAGUGUAGCGGUGAAAUGCGUAGAUAUUAGGAGGAACACCAGUGGCGAAGGCGGCUUUCUGGACAGUAACUGACGCUGAGGCGCGAAAGCGUGGGGAGCGAACAGG
rnacentral:rRNA from 1 species